rnacentral:misc_RNA from 1 species
CCAAAUACACCGGCCGAAAGGCCUGCCAGAGAGGCCGCGGUUCACCCCGCGCGCCCCAACGGUAAACCCUUUGUGAAAACCCCCUAUUUUGCCUCGGCGGCACCUUUACCCCCUCGGGGGCGGAGGGUCAGCCCGCCGACGGCACCAUUGGAAACCCUUUUUUGAAAAGAAGACUGUCUGAAUCAAUGGUCGAAUGACUAUA